GCCAGAGUGGCGGAAUUGGUAGACGCAGUGGACUCAAAAUCCACCGAUCUUCGGAUCUUGAGAGUUCGAGUCUCUCCUCUGGUA
rnacentral:tRNA from 4 species